rnacentral:rRNA from 1 species
CAGAAGGGAGCUUGCUCCCGGAUGUUAGCGGCGGACGGGUGAGUAACACGUGGGUAACCUGCCUGUAAGACUGGGAUAACUCCGGGAAACCGGAGCUAAUACCGGAUAGUUCCUUGAACCGCAUGGUUCAAGGAUGAAAGACGGUUUCGGCUGUCACUUACAGAUGGACCCGCGGCGCAUUAGCUAGUUGGUGGGGUAAUGGCUCACCAAGGCGACGAUGCGUAGCCGACCUGAGAGGGUGAUCGGCCACACUGGGACUGAGACACGGCCCAGACUCCUACGGGAGGCAGCAGUAGGGAAUCUUCCGCAAUGGACGAAAGUCUGACGGAGCAACGCCGCGUGAGUGAUGAAGGUUUUCGGAUCGUAAAGCUCUGUUGUUAGGGAAGAACAAGUGCGAGAGUAACUGCUCGCACCUUGACGGUACCUAACCAGAAAGCCACGGCUAACUACGUGCCAGCAGCCGCGGUAAUACGUAGGUGGCAAGCGUUGUCCGGAAUUAUUGGGCGUAAAGGGCUCGCAGGCGGUUUCUUAAGUCUGAUGUGAAAGCCCCCGGCUCAACCGGGGAGGGUCAUUGGAAACUGGGAAACUUGAGUGCAGAAGAGGAGAGUGGAAUUCCACGUGUAGCGGUGAAAUGCGUAGAGAUGUGGAGGAACACCAGUGGCGAAGGCGACUCUCUGGUCUGUAACUGACGCUGAGGAGCGAAAGCGUGGGGAGCGAACAGGAUUAGAUACCCUGGUAGUCCACGCCGUAAACGAUGAGUGCUAAGUGUUAGGGGGUUUCCGCCCCUUAGUGCUGCAGCUAACGCAU